rnacentral:rRNA from 1 species
UACGUAGGGUGCAAGCGUUGUCCGGAAUUAUUGGGCGUAAAGAGCUCGUAGGCGGUCUGUCGCGUCUGCUGUGAAAACUCAGGGCUUAACCCUGAGCUUGCAGUGGGUACGGGCAGACUAGAGUGCGGUAGGGGAGACUGGAAUUCCUGGUGUAGCGGUGAAAUGCGCAGAUAUCAGGAGGAACACCGGUGGCGAAGGCGGGUCUCUGGGGCCGAAUACUGACGCUGGAGGAGCGGAAAGCGUGGGGAGCGAACAGG